rnacentral:rRNA from 1 species
CAGGCCUAACACAUGCAAGUCGAACGAUGAAGCCUUAGCUUGCUUUGGUGGAUUAGUGGCGAACGGGUGAGUAACACGUGAGCAACGUGCCCAGGACUCUGGAAUAACCGCGGGAAACCGUGGCUAAUACCGGAUAGGUGCCGAGGCCGCAUGGUCUUCGGUUGGACAGUUUUUGCGGUUCUGGAUCGGCUCACGGCCUAUCAGCUUGUUGGUGGGGUAAUGGCCUACCAAGGCGACGACGGGUAGCCGGCCUGAGAGGGUGACCGGCCACACUGGGACUGAGACACGGCCCAGACUCCUACGGGAGGCAGCAGUGGGGAAUAUUGCACAAUGGGCGCAAGCCUGAUGCAGCAACGCCGCGUGGGGGAUGACGGCCUUCGGGUUGUAAACCUCUUUUAGUAGGGAAGAAGCGCAAGUGACGGUACCUGCAGAAAAAGCACCGGCUAACUACGUGCCAGCAGCCGCGGUAAUACGUAGGGUGCAAGCGUUGUCCGGAUUUAUUGGGCGUAAUGAGCUCGUAGGCGGUUUGUCGCGUCUGCUGUGAAAGCCCGAGGCUCAACCUCGGGUCUGCAGUGGGUACGGGCAGGCUAGAGUGCGGUAGGGGAGAUUGGAAUUCCUGGUGUAGCGGUGGAAUGCGCAGAUAUCAGGA